AGGUGCAAUCAUACAAGCACUAAUGCAUCAGAUCCCAUCAGAACUCCGCAGUUAAGCGCGCUUGGGCGAGAGUAGUACUACGAUGGGUGACCUCCUGGGAAGUCCUCGUGUUGCACCUU
rfam:Cajanus cajan CcLG02_1054, whole genome shotgun sequence.